GUUCGCUCAUCCGUACACUUGGUUGGCGGUUGGUUAGCUGUCUGAUGCUGGCCGUUGCGCCCAGCUGGUAAUUUAUAAUUCGCAGCGACAACAUCUACUGGCCUGGUCAACUACCCCAAGUGACCAUCCUGGCCAGAAAUAAAAUAAAGCCGUGCUGCCCUGACAGUCAUUUCGCCAGGCGGCUGGAUAGACACACUCUGCAUAUCCAUUUAAUCAGUGCAUCAGCAUCAGCAUCAGCAGGAUGGGUGGAGUCCAGAGUUACUGUCCAGCUGAUGCCUUUGUUUGCCCACGCUCCACACGGCGUAUACGCAAUGUGCUAAAGGGAGUUUAUGGCCACUGGUCGGUAAAAAUGGCAGCAGCAGCAGCAACAACAACAACGAUAACAGUUAACAAGCAAAAUAUGAAAUUGUUGCCCUGUCUGCCUCAGACAUGUUAAACAAAAUUAAUUAAGUGCGUUUGCACAUUCAACAAAACAAAAAAUAAAAACACAAAAAGAUAGUAGCUGGGGAAAAUAAAUGAUACCUCAUACCGAACUAUACAGACUCUAUACAGCUGGCCAGUUAAAUAUAUUUUAAGCGAAUCAUUUUAAACCAACCCCUGGGCAACAUUAAUCUUUAUUUUUCAUGUCAAAACACAGCAUUUCCUCCACACUUUUCCGAAAAUAAGCUGGGCAUAGAGCAAUUCAUUUGCCUAUAAAGACUGUCUGAGUGCUCCUGCUGAAAUGCUGCUGGUUGGCUGGCUGCUCAGAGCUCGGCUUAAUUCAAACAUAAAUAAAAUAAAAUUGCAUUCAUGCUAUUUACACGGCUGGCACAGUGAAGCCUGCGCUCGAGUGGAUGUGGAUCCCAGGCAGUUCAUGAUAGGGCGGCAUUAACGUUAACGCCUUUUGACUUCUGAAGGCCGCUCAACGUGGCCCACAUUCCUCCUCUGGAUUGCCAUUCCCAUCUUGCAUCUCCAACGGGCUUCCUCUUCCUCUUCAUCUUCAUCAUCCUCAUCCCAUCACCACCCUUUGCAAUUCACCUGCUCCUUCUGUCCACGGAAACCCGGGAACUCGGAAACUCGGAAGCUGGGAAACUCCGAUGUGCUGGCAAUUUGAUUAUUACAACUGGAACGGCAAAACCAAUCAUCUUUGAGUCGCAACUGUGAGUCUAACUUGUUGGGAAGUGGGUCAUUCCAGUAGUAGACUGUAAAAUCCAUCGCCACUUGGAUCGCAUGCCAAUCGGUUGUACACGUAUCCAAUGGGUAAUAAUCCUGGAUUUGUUGCCUCACGAAUAGUAAGUUCGUAAUGACAUAGGAAGUAAUCAAAGAGGUGAAAUGAUUUUCCUGCAUUUCGAUCCUUCUGCCUGAUAACUAUUACUUUAUUACUUCUUAGCAGUGCUAAGUUGCACAACUUUUGCUAAAUAACUCCUUAGUUAUAAACGUACUAUUCAGAAUGUUCUUUAAGUGCAUUUCACUUCGAAGUAUUCACUGUAUUCAAGGGGAACCCCCAUGCUGAAGCAGCUGAACAUGUGUGCAUUCCUUGGUUUUGUUACUCCUUCAACGGGUUUUUAGUUUACUGCUGCGUGUUGUUUUGGCCAAAAUUGCAAAUUACAUAUUUAUCAAGCUGCAAACGCUUUUUGAUUUAGUUCCCGAAAGUGCAACCGAGCAUAGCAAUCAGUGGGGGAAAAAAUCAAGAAAGAAAGGGUCUGGGAGCCAAACCACACAGUUUGUUUGGCUGCGGUCCAAUCAAUGUCAAUCAUACGCACCGUAAGCCGAGCUGUGGUCGCCUUGCUGCAGUUGGAGCAAAUAGAGCAAAUGGAGAAAAUGAACAGGAAAUGGCAUUGGCCACCCAAAAAACACCCACUAAAUGACAGACGGCGGGGCAUCGAGACGUCUGUAUUUCUGUCAAAGAUUGGAAUUAUGAUUUAAGCUGAUGUGGGGAUCAAAAUUCUGUGUGAAAUCGAAAUCCUGUUAGUUCGUUCGCUGGGAAUAUGCUGUGAAAUCUGAAUUAAAUUACACGCCAUCUAGAUUUGUAUAUUCAAUCUGCUCACGUUUUCGCACAUUUAACUACUUGCUAUGUGCGCCAUUGUUUUUGCUGCAUUCGCAGCAUGUUGACUUUGAAAACAUAUCGUAUUUACAUUUGAUUUAACAGUCAAACAAAUUUCUAGAAUUGCGCAAAUAUUUACAUACACAAUCGGAAAAUCUGUGCACUGCUGCGAACACGUGUGCCCUGUUGUGAAUUAAAAAUCUAUAUACAUAUGUAUAUGCUUGCGUGGCUGUGCAUACAUGAAAUUUAAAUUUAAAACAUAGCAGCCCACAUGGCGGAUGAUUGAUUUUGAUGCCGGCACCAAAGAGAAAUGGUGGCACACAGGGUUGGCAUUUAAUCCCGUUAUCGUUUCCAACUCUCGAAGGACCAAGGAUACGGAGUAGGACUUGGCAGUGGAUGUGGUAAUAAAAAGGGGAUGCACUCUGCGCAGCUCAGCAGGCGAGAAAACUUGCCGCAUAAUGCGUCACAAAGCUCGCAAGUCCUGCCACCCGCACAAGAAGAAGUGUUAACCGGGCAAAGAAGGAUCAAGGCGAAGGACUUCUGAAACGAAACGUAACGCAAACGCAAACGGAAACGGAAAGCAGGCGAUGCGCGUCUGAGUUCGUCUGCAAUUUCAUUACAUUUACGUUAAAUGCCUGUUGGCCGUCUCGUCCACUCAUCUGACUGGCAGACAAACAGUUCGCACAAGUGAAAGUAAUUAAAUUUUUGAGCGUCGCCACCUCCCCCAUAGUCUGCUAUCCUGAGUCCUCAGUCCUUCCUCCCUACCUCCCUCGUCCUUGGUCUUUGGUCCUUGGUCCUUGGUCCUUAGCUCACCCACAUCAUUCACACUAACGAACUGACGCACAAAACGUGCCAUUUUAGAGGCAAUCCGUUUCCGUUCCGAGUCCAGUUGCGCACCCUUUUAACGGCGGCCACAAAAAUGUUCAACACAUUCUGGCUGCACUUUCCCUUUUCCCCUUUAUCCCUUUUCCCCUUUUCCCCCUCCCCGCCACAUCCCUAAAUCCUGGUCACGCGGCGUAUGCGUAAUGUGUGUCCACCCGCCCACUUUAUGAGCUCUUGGGCCGAAACUCGCGACUGCCAACUGCCAGUUUAAUUAAAAAUAAAACCCACCAUCGCUCUAUAGCCGCCCUGCUGCCUGGCCGUAUGGUUCCAACUGAUUAUUCGCUCUGGGCCACGCUUUAUACGUGCGAAAACCAGAAGCAGCAUCCCCAGCACUUGACGCAUCGCAUCAGUUGUAUGCUGGUAACAUCCACCAAGUCCACCAGAGUCCACCAUCGUCCAGCGUCCAGAGUUGGUCGUCCAUUUUGUGGGUCAAAAGCAAAUAAUUGAAGAGAGCACGUCGACUGAUUGCCAUUGUUGAGGUCAGUUGAGUGCGCUUUCUUUUCACCUUUUUUGUUGAUGUUGUUGCUGAUGUUGCUGCUGUGCUUUGCUGGUUAUUUUUUGGGUCCUUUCUUUUUGUUAUUUAUGGCUUUUGUGCUCUUUGGCGGAUGCCAAUGGUUGUGUCAUAAAAUAAAAUACGACUAUGUGCGCAAAUAAAACGCAAGCAAUUAAACAGCAAAAAUACUUGCGGCUCAAAAAGGAUUGAGAACGAGCGGCAAAAAAAUGCUAGUUGAUCUGCAGUUUCGCUUGACAUUGAAUUGAAUGUGACAUUGCUGCUGAAUUUAAAAAUCAGCUUAAAAGAUUAACGGUUUUAGUUCGAUGCUUUUGCAUUUGAAAGAGUCAUUUAAUACGUUUUUAAAAUAAAUAGAUAUAGAUUUUUAUAGAUUACUAUAUAUGUAUGGAGCAAUGUGUAUUAUACCACGUUUUUUGCUGAGUAAUUUAGCUUUUUAACUCAACUCCCUUGAGCGAUUCCUUAGUAAAUCUGCUUAAAUCUCGGUGCUCACGACCCCGUUGAAGUAAAGUAAAAUUAGCCUUGACUGCUCAACUGACUGGCUAACAAAUCGUUGGCUUGCAAAUCGCUGCUGGCAUUGUAAAUAUGGCUGUAAUUAUGCAUAAUCUGCCAUUGAAGAGCGUACAUAAAGCGAACGGAAAUGCAUAUAUGCAUGCAUAUGUGAGUGAGCCCCAUUCUUCUGUAGUACAUAUCCAUUCCCUUGCAUGUAAGUGUGUGUUUGUGUGUGCGUAUUAAUUACCGUAGCCAUAACAAUGAAAUUCAAUUUGCCAUGGCCACGCCCCGCGGACAUGUUAAAUGGGCGGACGGAGAAUCCAUCAUGGCCGGAAUUAUGUUUUGAUAAGCGGCCAGCGAGCAAACAAGCCACAAAAGCGGCAAACGGAUGGAAGGAUGGAUGGAUGGACAUUCAGGCGAUGCCUAAAUUAAAGAUGAAAUCAAGGCAAAUAGAGCCGGACAAAUAAAGCACUCGAACACAAAACGGACAGAAUCGCAUUCGGAUGCAGAUGCGGAUGGAGCGGCAGGAAGGAUGUAGAUUGGAGGAACGGAUGCGAAUGUGGAUGGAGAUGAGGAAGGGGGAAUAUAUGUGGCUGGACAAACUAAUCCGGCGGCAGCAGAGAUUGCAUGAGGACCUCGACCAUUAGCCAAAAGCAGCAGCACUGCGAGUGAGGAUAGUUGCCCCAAAAUGGAGGUGGAGCUGGAGUUUGGAGAUGGAGCUGGAGUUUGGAGAUGGAGCUGGAGUUUGGAGAUGGAGCUGGAGUUUGGAGAUGGAGCUGGAGCUUGGAGCUGAAGAUGGAGCUGGAGAUGGAGGUGACCACGAUGGCGAUGGUGACGAGUGACCCCGCAGGACGUUUUGGAUUUGGGCACGAUUUAGGCUGUAGCUUUUGUUUGCUUUUCAUGAGUGUGUGUCGGUCGGUGAGUGGGUUUUGCGCUUGUUUAUUUAUUCGAAAAACAUUCGUACGAUGGGGAAAACACUUUGCGACUAUAGUCUGUGUAUGCACAGCACAAGAAUUUGCUAUAUAUAUAAUGUAUACUACACAUGCUCUACAAAUCAAACUUCAUAUUCCACACAAUAGUUGGCUUUUUCUCGGUGUUGUAUGAGUGGAAAAUGUGGAGUGGAGUGUCAAAUGAUUGAAUAAACGAAUCAAAUCAUGUGUG